UACGUAGGGUGCAAGCGUUGUCCGGGAUUAUUGGGCGUAAAGAGCGUGUAGGCGGCCCGAUUAGUCCGCUGUGAAAGUCCAGGGCUCAACCCUGGAAUGCCGGUGGAUACUGUCGGGCUAGAGUCCGGAAGGGGCGAGUGGAAUUCCUGGUGUAGCGGUGAAAUGCGCAGAUAUCAGGAGGAACACCAAUGGCGAAGGCAGCUCGCUGGGACGUGACUGACGCUGAGACGCGAAAGCGUGGGGAGCAAACAGG
rnacentral:rRNA from 1 species